AUACAUGCAAGUCGAACGGGGAUUUCAGCAAUGGGAUCCUAGUGGCGAACGGGUGAGUAACGCGUUGGUGACCUGCCCCGAAGAGGGGGAUAACAGACCGAAGGGUUUGCUAAUACCGCAUAAGCUCGAGCUAGUCAGAGAGGCUUGAGGAAAGGCCGAAAGGCGCUUUGGGAGGGGCCUGCGUCCCAUCAGCUAGUUGGCGAGGUAAAAGCUCACCAAGGCGAUGACGGGUAGGGGACCUGAGAGGGUGACCCCCCACAAUGGAACUGAAACACGGUCCAUACACCUACGGGUGGCAGCAGUAGGGAAUAUUGGUUAAUGGGCGAAAGCCUGACCCAGCAACGCCGCGUGCGCGACGAAGGCCUUCGGGUUGUAAAGCGCUUUUAAGUGGGAUGAGGAAGGACAGUACCACUAGAAUAAGUCUCGGCUAACUACGUGCCAGCAGCCGCGGUAACACGUAGGAGACGAGCGUUAUCCGGAUUUACUGGGUGUAAAGCGCGUGCAGGCGGUUUGGAAAGUUGGAUGUGAAAGCUCCUGGCUUAACUGGGAGAGGUCGUUCAAAACUACCAGACUAGAGUACAGCAGAGGGGAGUGGAAUUCCGAGUGUAGCGGUAAAAUGCAUAGAUAUUCGGAAGAACACCAGUGGCGAAGGCGGCUCCCUGGGCUGAAACUGACGCUCAGACGCGAAAGCUAGGGUAGCGAACGGGAUUAGAGACCCCGGGUAGUCCUAGCCGUAAACGAUGUGGACUUGGCGUAGGCGGGUUGAAAUCCAUCUGUGCCGAAGCAAACGCGAUAAGUCCACCACCUGGGGGACUA
rnacentral:rRNA from 1 species